GAUGAACGCUGGCGGCGUGCCUAAUACAUGCAAGUCGAGCGAACAGAUAAGGAGCUUGCUCCUUUGACGUUAGCGGCGGACGGGUGAGUUACACGUGGAUAACCUACCUAUAUGACUGGGAUCACUUCGGGAAACCGGCGCUAAUACCGGAUAACAUAUUGAACCGCAUGGUUCAAUAGUGAAAGGCGGCUUUGCUGUCACUUAUAGAUGGAUCUGCGCCGUAUUAGCUAGUUGGUAAGGUAACGGCUUACCAAGGCAACGAUACGUAGCCAACCUGAGAGGGUGAUCGGCCACACUGGAACUGAGACACGGUCCAGACUCCUACGGGAGGCAGCAGUAGGGAAUCUUCCGCAAUGGGCGAAAGCCUGACGGAGCAACGCCGCGUGAGUGAUGAAGGUCUUCGGAUCGUAAAACUCUGUUAUCAGGGAAGAACAAAUGUGUAAGUAACUGUGCACAUCUUGACGGUACCUGAUCAGAAAGCCACGGCUAACUACGUG
rnacentral:rRNA from 1 species